AGAAACAGAGGUCAAGGAGCAGCAAGGACGAGACGAGAGGGUUUUCAUUCGACUUCUGGAGAUAGGAUCUUGCUGCCUGCUGGGUACAUCAAUCGCCAAGCGAAAAUACCAGAGCCUAUUUAUCCUAAUUUGCGAUGGAUGAGAUUCAAUCGUUAUCCUUCACGGAGGUGGUUCCGCGGCGGUGGUCUCUCAAGAGCAACGGCGUCGUCCUUGCUGAUUCUUCUUAUUUCCAUUCGCCCGUUGUCAUCUCCACUGUAUAAGAGAGGCUGCUAAGACCAUACCGAGACGACACCGAGAAGUUAUACUCGAAGACUAUGAAGCUAGCAUCAAAGAACUUAUAUCCAAAGUUGAUACCAACAAUUUAAUGGACCAGAUGGACCACUUAUUUCUGCCUACAUUCACUAGGAUAAAUGAGAUGUUCUCUAAGGAACUGGAAACUGUUAGAAAGCAAAACCCAUGUGAACCUUUGAAGUUUCUUGAAAAAACAUUGAGGUUAACGUUUGAAGAAGGGAUUCUAAUA